AGCGAACGCUGGCGGCAGGCCUAACACAUGCAAGUCGAACGGACCCUUCGGGGUUAGUGGCGGACGGGUGAGUAACACGUGGGAACGUGCCUUUAGGUUCGGAAUAGCUCCUGGAAACGGGUGGUAAUGCCGAAUGUGCCCUUCGGGGGAAAGGAUUUAUCGCCUUUAGAGCGGCCCGCGUCUGAUUAGCUUGUUGGUGA
rnacentral:rRNA from 1 species